UAGGGAAUCUUCGGCAAUGGGGGCAACCCUGACCGAGCAACGCCGCGUGAGUGAAGAAGGUUUUCGGAUCGUAAAGCUCUGUUGUAAGAGAAGAACGUGUGUGAGAGUGGAAAGUUCACACAGUGACGGUAACUUACCAGAAAGGGACGGCUAACUACGUGCCAGCAGCCGCGGUAAUACGUAGGUCCCGAGCGUUGUCCGGAUUUAUUGGUCGUAAAGCGAGCGCAGGCGGUUUAAUAAGUCUGAAGUUAAAGGCAGUGGCUUAACGAUUGUUCGAUUUGGAAAGUGUUAAGCUUGAGUGCAGAAGGGGAGAGUAGAAUUCCAUUUGUAGCGGUGAAGUGAGUAGAUAUAUGGAGGGAAGCAGGUGGGGAGAGCGGGGCUCUGGUCUGGAACUGACGCUGAGGCUCGAAAGCGUGGGGAGCAAACAGG
rnacentral:rRNA from 1 species